GAAUUUGUAUUUUAGACGUACUAAAAUUUGUAUUGUUCGGAGAAAACAUGAAAGUUAGGGUUUGAGUUGGAGGGAGGAAAAUAGAGGAUCUAAACUUAAAUGUUCACCUAUUUCAUUAUCGACACGUCAACAUCUCUAAGCCGAUUCAAUAGCUCACUUCUCUCUAUCUCUCUGCUUCUUAGCUGAGUCUAUUUUAGAUCUCUGCGAGUAGGUGGUGAUGGCGGAGCGAGAGUCGCGCCGUCGGAGGCGGCGGAGUGGGGGAGGCCGCGGCCGCGGAUGCUGCUACUGCAGUUGUUGCGUGGCUAUUGCUGUUGUGGUGUUUUCUUUGCUGCUCAACUACUAUCUCUGCUAUUCAGGCUUUUUCGGCGACUGCGGUAAGGGAAAAUUUGGAUUUAUAGUCCACCUUUUCAAGGAAAACCGCCUUAAUUUCCUCCCUCAACUCCAUCGUCUAUAGAGAUGCUGCUACUUUUCGAUUGCUCAAACCCUCGAGACUUUGAUGUCGGAUAUAUUGGUGAAAUUUAAGCUCAUUUGUGGUGGAAAUCGACUGUUUUUUACUGUGAUUUUAGCUUUCAGUCUCUGAUUAUGCUUCAGCUUCUCUCACUUGUCUUUGAUAAUCUUAUAAUAUGAGCACCUAACCUGUCAUAAUAGUCGAUUUUUGGUGGACGCUGCUGAUAAUUGAGGAAUUAGUGUGUGUAUGAAGAAGAUGAAAUUAGGAUUUGGUUAAUGUAUACCAACGGCAUGAAUUUGAUUUGGUUAAUCUAUUUACAAAUUUAUUGCAUUCUUGUUUUUGUUCUUUUAAGUUUACGACUAAAUGUGUUUUGUAUAUAUUUUAAGCAUUUCUUUUUAGUUACUCA
rnacentral:lncRNA from 1 species